rnacentral:rRNA from 1 species
UACGGAGGGGGCUAGCGUUGUUCGGAAUUACUGGGCGUAAAGCGCACGUAGGCGGCUUUGCAAGUUAGAGGUGAAAGCCCGGGGCUCAACUCCGGAAUUGCCUUUAAAACUGCAUCGCUAGAAUUGUGGAGAGGUAAGUGGAAUUCCGAGUGUAGAGGUGAAAUGCGCAGAUAUCAGGAAGAACACCUAUGGCGAAGGCAGCUCUCUGGGACGGUACUGACGCUGAGACGCGAAAGCGUGGGGAGCGAACAGG